GACGAACGCUGGCGGCGUGCUUAACACAUGCAAGUCGAACGGAAAGGCCCUGCUUUUGUGGGGUGCUCGAGUGGCGAACGGGUGAGUAACACGUGAGUAACCUGCCCUUGACUUUGGGAUAACUUCAGGAAACUGGGGCUAAUACCGGAUAGGAGCUCCUGCUGCAUGGUGGGGGUUGGAAAGUUUCGGCGGUUGGGGAUGGACUCGCGGCUUAUCAGCUUGUUGGUGGGGUAGUGGCUUACCAAGGCUUUGACGGGUAGCCGGCCUGGGAGGGUGACCGGCCACAUUGGGACUGAGAUGCGACCCAGACUCCUACGGGAGGCAGCAGUGGGGAAUAUUGCACAAUGGGCGGAAGCCUGAUGCAGCGACGCCGCGUGCGGGAUGACGGCCUUCGGGUUGUAAACCGCUUUCGCCUGUGACGAAGCGUGAGUGACGGUAAUGGGUAAAGAAGCACCGGCUAACUACGU
rnacentral:rRNA from 1 species